UACAGAGGUCUCAAGCGUUGUUCGGAUUCAUUGGGCGUAAAGGGUGCGUAGGUGGCGCGGUAAGUCGGGUGUGAAAUUUCGGAGCUUAACUCCGAAACUGCAUUCGAUACUGCCGUGCUUGAGGACUGGAGAGGAGACUGGAAUUUACGGUGUAGCGGUGAAAUGCGUAGAUAUCGUAAGGAAGACCAGUGGCGAAGGCGGGUCUCUGGGCAGUAACUGACGCUGAGGAGCGAAAGCGUGGGGAGCGAACAGG
rnacentral:rRNA from 1 species